GGCGCGGGAGGAUCUGGGGAUGAGCUGGCUACAGCCUCUGGAGAGGCCUCUGGCGAAGGGACGUCUUCGCCCUCGGGCGGUUCUCCGCCGAAGUCGUCGCCGCGCAAGUCCCGGGCGGCCAAUGCAGUGGAAAAGGCCAACAACUGGUCGAGGGCCGAGAUCGAGCAGCUUCCGGUCCCGCAGCUGUGCCGAUGGUUGGA
rnacentral:SRP_RNA from 1 species